rnacentral:rRNA from 1 species
AGCAGCCGCGGUAAUUCCAGCUCCAAUAGCGUAUAUUAAAGUUGUUGCAGUUAAAAAGCUCGUAGUUGAAUUUCGGGGUUAGUAGGUUGGUCAUGCCUCUGGUAUGUACUAGUCUCACUGAUUCCUCCUUCCUGAUGAGCCGUAAUGCCAUUAAUUUGGUGUUGCGGGGAAUUUGGACUGUUACUUUGAAAAAAUUAGAGUGUUUAAAGCAGGCUCACGCUUGAAUACAUUAGCAUGGAAUAAUGAAAUAGGACGUUUGAUUCUAUUUUGUUGGUUUCUAGGAUUGACGUAAUGAUUAAUAGGGAUAGUUGGGGGCAUUAGUAUUCAAUUGUCAGAGGUGAAAUUCUUGGAUUUAUUGAAGACUAACUACUGCGAAAGCAUUUGCCAAGGAUGUUUUCAUUAAUCAAGAGCGAAAGUUAGGGGAUCGAAGACGAUCAGAUACCGUCGUAGUCUUAACCAUAAACUAUGCCGACUAGGGAUCGGAUGAUGUUAAUUUUUUAAUGACUCAUUCGGCGCCUUA